rnacentral:rRNA from 1 species
CCUACGGGCGGCUGCAGUGGGGAAUAUUGGACAAUGGGGGCAACCCUGAUCCAGCCAUGCCGCGUGUGUGAAGAAGGCCCUCGGGUUGUAAAGCACUUUCAGUGAGGAAGAACGCCUGGUGGUUAAUACCCAUCAGGAAAGACAUCACUCACAGAAGAAGCACCGGCUAACUCCGUGCCAGCAGCCGCGGUAAUACGGAGGGUGCGAGCGUUAAUCGGAAUUACUGGGCGUAAAGCGCGCGUAGGUGGCUUGAUAAGCCGGUUGUGAAAGCCCCGGGCUCAACCUGGGAACGGCAUCCGGAACUGUCAAGCUAGAGUGCAGGAGAGGAAGGUAGAAUUCCUGGUGUAGCGGUGAAAUGCGUAGAGAUCGGGAGGAAUACCAGUGGCGAAGGCGGCCUUCUGGACUGACACUGACACUGAGGUGCGAAAGCGUGGGUAGCAAACAGGAUUAGAUACCCUUGUAGUC